rnacentral:rRNA from 1 species
AUACGUAGGUGACAAGCGUUAUCCGGAUUUACUGGGCGUAAAGGGCGUGUAGGCGGUCUUGCAAGUCAGAAGUGAAAUUCCUGAGCUCAACUCGGGCGCUGCUUCUGAAACUGCAGGACUUGAGUGCUGGAGGGGAUAGCGGAAUUCCUAGUGGAGCGGUAAAAUGCGCAGAUAUUAGGAAGAACACCGGUGGCGAAGGCGGCUAUCUGGACAGUAACUGACGCUGAGGCGCGAAAGCGUGGGGAGCAAACAGGAUUAGAUACCCCGGUAGUCCGUGCCGUAAACGAUGAAUACUAGGUGUAGGGGGUAUCGACUCCCUCUGUGCCGCAGUUAACACAAUAAGUAUUCCGCCUGGGGAGUACGGCCGCAAGGUUGAAACUCAAAGGAAUUGGCGGGG